rnacentral:rRNA from 1 species
UACGAAGGGGGCUAGCGUUGCUCGGAAUCACUGGGCGUAAAGGGUGCGUAGGCGGGUCUUUAAGUCAGGGGUGAAAUCCUGGAGCUCAACUCCAGAACUGCCUUUGAUACUGAAGAUCUUGAGUUCGGGAGAGGUGAGUGGGAACUGCGAGUGUAGAGGUGAAAUUCGUAGAUAUUCGCAAGAACACCAGUGGCGAAGGCGGCUCACUGGCCCGAUACUGACGCUGAGGCACGAAAGCGUGGGGGAGCAAAC